AUAAACCACAGCGAAUAAAUUCUCUCGAAUAUUAUUCCUACGCAUCGCCGCUCACCUCCGCCGUGCCGUGCCGUGCCGCCGUCUGAGCCUCCGGCGCGAGGACCGCCCGAAGCUCUCGCCGGAGCAACCGCGCAUCUCCGGUCCGGCGCCGCCGCAGCCGCCGCAUCAACCGCCUGAACCAGAGAGGUAUCACCACCACCAACGAUAAUUGAACAGUUUCAACAGUGUCACUUAGACCAUCCCAUUGGAAAAUUUUUUGGCGAAUGUACUGACCUAAAAGUAAAGCUUGAUCGCUGUUUUCGGGCAGAGAAAUCCGUGAAACGAAAGGCUAACUUUGAAGAGAGCAAGAAAUUGAGAGAGAGGCUACAA